GCCGGGUGUGAUGGCGCACGCCUGUCAUCCCAGCGGCUCGGGAGGCUGAGACAGGAGGAUCGCGAGUUCAAAGCCAGCCUCAGCCAAAGCGAGGCCCUAAGCAACUCAGUGAGACCCUGUCUCCA
rnacentral:sRNA from 1 species